rnacentral:rRNA from 2 species
AAUCCAUAGGUUAAUGAGGCGAACCGGGGGAACUGAAACAUCUAAGUACCCCGAGGAAAAGAAAUCAACCGAGAUUCCCCCAGUAGCGGCGAGCGAACGGGGAGGAGCCCAGAGCCUGAAUCAGCAUGUGUGUUAGUGGAAGCGUCUGGAAAGGCGCGCGAUACAGGGUGACAGCCCCGUACACAAAAGCGCAUGUGCUGUGAGCUCGAUGAGUAGGGCGGGACACGUGGUAUCCUGUCUGAAUAUGGGGGGACCAUCCUCCAAGGCUAAAUACUCCUGACUGACCGAUAGUGAACCAGUACCGUGAGGGAAAGGCGAAAAGAACCCCGGCGAGGGGAGUGAAAAAGAACCUGAAACCGUGUACGUACAAGCAGUGGGAGCACCCUUUGGGUGUGACUGCGUACCUUUUGUAUAAUGGGUCAGCGACUUAUAUUCUGUAGCAAGGUUAACCGAAUAGGGGAGCCGGAGGGAAACCGAGUCUUAACCGGGCGUUAAGUUGCAGGGUAUAGACCCGAAACCCGGUGAUCUAGCCAUGGGCAGGUUGAAGGUUGGGUAACACUAACUGGAGGACCGAACCGACUAAUGUUGAAAAAUUAGCGGAUGACCUGUGGCUGGGGGUGAAAGGCCAAUCAAACCGGGAGAUAGCUGGUUCUCCCCGAAAGCUAUUUAGGUAGCGCCUCGUGAAUUCAUCUCCGGGGGUAGAGCACUGUUUCG